rnacentral:rRNA from 1 species
GAACGGUAACAGGUCUUCAGACGCUGACCAGUGGCGAACGGGUGAGUAAUACAUCGGAACGUGCCCAGUCGUGGGGGAUAACUACUCAAAAGAGUAGCUAAUACCGCAUACGAUCUGAGGAUGAAAGCGGGGGACCUUCUGGCCUCGCGCGAUUGGAGCGGCCGAUGGCAGAUUAGGGAGGUGGUGGGAUAAAAGCUUACCAAGCCUAGGAUCUGUAGCUGGUCUGAGAGGACGACCAGCCGCACUGGGACUGAGACACGGCCCAGACUCCUAGGGAGGCAGCAGAAUAUAAUUUUGGACAAUGGGCGAAAGCCUGAUCCUGCAAUGCCGCGUGCAGGAUGAAGGCCUUCGGGUUGUAAACUGCUUUUGUACGGAACGAAAAAGCUCCUUCUAAUACAGGGGGCCCAUGACGAAUACCGUAAGAAUAAGCUCCGGCUAACUACGUGCCAGCAGCCGCGGUAAUACGUAGGGUGCGAGCGUUAAUCGGAAUUACUGGGCGUAAAGCGUGCGCAGGCGGUUAUGUAAGACAGAUGUGAAAUCCCCGGGCUCAACCUGGGAACUGCAUUUGUGACUGCAUGGCUAGAGUACGGUAGAGGGGGAUGGAAUUCCGCGUGUAGCAUUGAUAUGCGUAGAUAUGCGGAGGAACACCGAUGGCGAAGGCAAUCCCCUGGACCUGUACUGACGCUCAUGCACGAAAGCGUGGGGAGCAAACAGGAUUAGAUACCCUGGUAGUCCACGCCCUAAACGAUGUCAACUGGUUGUUGGGAAUUAGUUUUCUCAGCAAUGAAGUUAACGCGUGAAGUUGACCGCCUGGGGAGUACGGCCGCAAGGUUGAAACUCAAAGGAAUUGACGGGGAACCGCACAAGCGGUGGAUGAUGUGGUUUAAUUCGAUGCAACGUGAAAAACCUUACCCACCUCUUACAUGGCAGGAAGUUUCCAGAGAAGGAUUCGUGAUCGAAAGAGAACCUGCACACAGGUGCUGCAUGGCUGUAGUCAGCUCGUGUGGUGAGAUGUUGGGUUAAGUCCCGCAAUGAGCGCAACCCUUCUCAUUAGUUGGUACAUUCAGUUGAGCACUUUAAUGAGACUGCCGCUGACAAACCGGAGGAAGGUGGGGAGGAGGUCAAGUCCUCAUGGCCUUUUUAGGUGGGGCUACACAAGUCAUACAAUGGCUGGUACAGAGGGUUGCCAACCCGCGAGGGGGAGCUAAUCCCAUAAAACCAGUGGUAGUCCGGAUCGCAGUGUGCAACUGUAUUGAGUUAAGUCGGAAUAGGUAGUAAUCGCGGAUCAGCAUGCCGCGGUGAAUAUGUUCCCGGGUCGUGUACACACCGCCCGUCACACCAUGGGAGCGGGUCUCGCCAGAAGUAGGUAGCCUAACCGC